AAAAGAAGAAACAGAAAAAAGGAAAGAAAAGACGAUAUACUCUGUCUAUCUGUUUGCGUGCUUUAGAGUCCGCGUGUUUGAUUGUCGGUGCUUUCUUUGAUCGUCUGAAUGUUUUUGUCUUGUUUUGCUUUUU
rnacentral:ribozyme from 1 species